GACGAACGCUGGCAGCGUGCCUAACCCAUGCAAGUUGAACGGGAGGCUCCCUUCGGGGAGCUGAGAGUAGCGGACGGGUGAGUAACGCGUGAACAACCUACCUCAAAGCGGGGGACAACACCUGGAAACGGGUGCUAAUACCGCAUAAGACCACGGUGUCGCAUGACACUGAGGUAAAAGAUUUAUCACUUUGAGGGGGUUCGCGUCCCAUUAGCUAGUUGGUGAGAUAACAGCUCACCAAGGCGACGAUGGGUAGCCGGGCUGAGAGGCCCAACGGCCACACUGGAACUGAGAAACGGUCCAGACUCCUACGGGAGGCAGCAGGGAGGAAUAUUGGGCAAUGGGGGAAACCCUGACCCAGCAACGCCGCGUGAAGGAAGAAGGCCCUCGGGUUGUAAACUUCUUUUAUAGGGGAAGAAGAAAGUGACGGUACCUUAUGAAUAAGCUCCGGCAAACUACGUGCCAGCCGCCGCGGUAA
rnacentral:rRNA from 1 species